UAGCUCAGUCAGUAGAGCGUAGCGCUAACAACACUGAAGUCACAGGUUCGAUUCCCGU
rnacentral:tRNA from 1 species